GGCCUCGAGAUGCAGGUGGCUCUGGAGAUCACUGCUCGCUACUGCGGCCGGGAGCUGGAGCAGUAUGGCCCGUGUGUGGUGGCCAAGCCUGACUCAUGGCAGCGAGACUGUCACCACCUCAAGAUGAGCAUUGCUCGAUGCACAUCCUCCUACCCAAUCAUCCGCCAGAUCCGUCAGGCUUGUGCUGAGCCUUUUGAGGCCUUCGAGGAGUGUCUUCGACAGAAUGAAGCAGCCAUGGACAACUGUGCCGAGCAUGUGCGCUGCUUCCUGCAGUGCGUCGAGCAGGUGCAGCUGCCACGCUCACCCACGACUGUGGAGGCACAGUCACUUCCUGCUUCCUGAGAACUCCCUCGACUACGGGAAAACUGGACAUGGGUGACUGGCCACUUGAUGCCCCACCCCCACAGAAUGGCCAGAUGGAGUCCUGUGGGCAGUGGGCCUGGCUUUCCUGGAUAUCAGGACUUCCAAUAAAUAAAGACUCUAUAUACUGG